rnacentral:rRNA from 1 species
GAUGAACGCUGGCGGCGUGCUUAACACAUGCAAGUCGAACGAGAAGUGAAGACGGAAACCUUCGGGCGGAAGGCUUUAUUUCGAGUGGCGGACGGGUGAGUAACGCGUGGGUAACCUGCCUCAUACAGGGGGAUAACAGUUGGAAACGACUGUUAAUACCGCAUAAGACCACAGCACCGCAUGGUGCGGGGGUAAAAACUCCGGUGGUAUGAGAUGGACCCGCGUUCGAUUAGCCAGUUGGCGGGGUAACGGCCCACCAAAGCGACGAUCGAUAGCCGAUCUGAGAGGAUGACCGGCCACAUUGGGACUGAGACACGGCCCAAACUCCGACGGGAGGCAGCAGUGGGGAAUAUUGCACAAUGGGGGAAACCCUGAUGCAGCGACGCCGCGUGAGUGAAGAAGUAUUUCGGUAUGUAAAGCUCUAUCAGCAGGGAAGAAAAUGACGGUACCUGAGUAAGAAGCCCCGGCUAACUACGU